rnacentral:rRNA from 1 species
UACGGAGGGGGCUAGCGUUGUUCGGAAUUACUGGGCGUAAAGCGCACGUAGGCGGCUUUGUAAGUUAGAGGUGAAAGCCCGGGGCUCAACUCCGGAAUUGCCUUUAAGACUGCAUCGCUAGAAUUGUGGAGAGGUAAGUGGAAUUCCGAGUGUAGAGGUGAAAUUCGUAGAUAUUCGCAAGAACACCAGUGGCGAAGGCGGCUCACUGGUCCGGUACUGACGCGUGAGGUGCGAAAGCGUGGGAGCAAACAGG